GGGGGUGUGGCUCAGUGGUACAGUGCUUGCCUAACAAGCAUGAGACCCUGGAUUUGACACCCAGAAUCCCCC
rnacentral:tRNA from 1 species